WUGCUCASAUUGAACGCUGCGGCAUCCCUUACACUAUGCAAGUCGAACGGCAGCACGGGGGUAACCCGUGGUGGCGAGUGGCGAACGGGUGAGUAAUACAUCGGAACGUGUCCUGUAGUGGGGGAUAGCCCGGCGAAAGCSGGAUUAAUAGCSCAUACGCUCUACGGAGGAAAGGGGGGGAUCUUAGGACCUCUCGCUACAGGGGCGSCCGAUGGCAGAUUAGCUAGUUGGUGGGGUAAAGGCCUACCAAGGCGACGAUCUGUAGCUGGUCUGAGAGGACGACCAGCCACACUGGGACUGAGACACGGCCCAGACYCUACGGGAGGCAGCAGUGGGGAAUUUKGGACAAUGGGCGAAAGCCUGAUCCAGMAAUGCCGCGUGUGUGAAGAAGGCCUWMGGGUUGUAAAGCACUUWUGUCCGGAAAGAAAACUUCUGUCCUAAUACGGCGGGAGGAUGACGGUACCGGAAGAAUAAGCACCGGCUAACUACGUGCCAGCAGCCGCGGUAAUACGUAGGGUGCAAGCGUUAAUCGGAAUUACUGGGCGUAAAGCGUGCGCAGGCGGUCMGCUAAGACAGAUGUGAAAUCCCCGGGCUUAACCUGGGAACUGCAUUUGUGACUGGCGGGCUAGAGUAUGGCAGAGGGGGGUAGAAUUCVACGUGUAGCAGUGAAAUGCGUAGAGAUGUGGAGGAAUACCGAUGGCGAAGGCAGCCCCCUGGGCCAAUACUGACGCUNAUGCACGAAAGCGUGGGGAGCAAACAGGAUUAGAUACCCUGGUAGUCCACGCCCUAAACGAUGUCAACUAG
rnacentral:rRNA from 1 species